GAACGCUGGUGGCGUGCCUAAUACAUGCAAGUCGAGCGAACAGACGAGGAGCUUGCUCCUCUGACGUUAGCGGCGGACGGGUGAGUAACACGUGGAUAACCUACCUAUAAGACUGGGAUAACUUCGGGAAACCGGAGCUAAUACCGGAUAAUAUAUUGAACCGCAUGGUUCAAUAGUGAAAGACGGUUUUGCUGUCACUUAUAGAUGGAUCCGCGCCGCAUUAGCUAGUUGGUAAGGUAACGGCUUACCAAGGCAACGAUGCGUAGCCGACCUGAGAGGGUGAUCGGCCACACUGGAACUGAGACACGGUCCAGACUCCUACGGGAGGCAGCAGUAGGGAAUCUUCCGCAAUGGGCGAAAGCCUGACGGAGCAACGCCGCGUGAGUGAUGAAGGUCUUCGGAUCGUAAAACUCUGUUAUUAGGGAAGAACAAAUGUGUAAGUAACUAUGCACGUCUUGACGGUACCUAAUCAGAAAGCCACGGCUAACUACCGUGCCAGCAGCCGCGGUAAU
rnacentral:rRNA from 1 species